GUCAUAAUAAGUAUGGAUUACCACUCUGGAGAAUUCAACUGAUGAAGAACAGUGGUUGGCAAUCUUCCCUUUGGUGUAUUUUUGGUAAAUUGCUGACUGAUGCAGAAGCUUCUCUGAAGAUGAAUGAGAUAGAGAAAAAGAAAAGACCAAAACAUUCCAGGUAUAUUGUAUACUGACACCUCUAGUUAUUGCUCGACUUCUGGUCCUGUGAUAGUCCCUUUGUGAGGGGUGAGAAUCAGAGGGAGGGAGGAUGAAGAUGGUGUGUGCGAUGAUUUAGAGUGCCUAGCUUCCCUAGUGGCUCAGACGGUAAAGAAUCUGCUUGCAAUGCAGGAGACAUGGGUCCAACCCUUGGGUCAGGAAGAUCCCCUAGAGAAGGAAAUGGCAACCCACUCCAGUAUUCUUGCCUGGAGAAUCCCACGAACAGAGGAACCUGGCAGGCUACAGUCCAUGGGGUCACAGAGAGUCAGACAUGACAUAGCAACUAAACAGCUACAACAACCUCCAAAGUAUCUAAAUUUAAGCCAGGAAGGCAGAAAUCACUGCGGCAAAGCAGGUGUGAACGUCCCCCCACUUCAGAGGCAGCGCUCUUUGAAGCUGGAAAAUCAAGGACACUGGUACCUUCAAGGAAACAAGGAUAUAAUUAUCACAACACCCAAUUGGCCAGUGGCCUUCCAUUCCUCAGGCCUGCCCUACUCCCUUCGCUGGCAUCCGCCCAGGUCCUCACAGACUGAGCUCUGUGUCCCAGAUCGCUCAGCUGGAGGAGCAGCCCACUCCCGCACCCUUUGAAAGUGUUCUUAAUCUCUUUCUACUGCGCUGCGCUUGCUGACAUAAAUCCACCAGCCCAGGGCGCCUCCGAGCCCCCCACAGAGGGAGGCCCUUCAGGCCAAGUGGAGUCUGAGCAGCAAAGGCUCAGAAUUUAUGCUUCCUCUCACCUGUGCGGUCUGUCUGCGGCCCCGACUCCAGGCGGUUUUUGAAGGUUUGAUUAGAACCUUCCAGCUCCUCGCCAAGCCUGCCAUCAUCACCUUAGUCACAGAAGCAGACUUCUCAAGGCCGUUGGAAGUGAAUAACAGGGACUGUCAGCUUCAUUAUUAUAUUUGAAAUGUUGAAAGCAGAAGCCUAAUAAAAUAAGUUCAGAAAAACAGAAAGAGCCAUAAAUUAUCAUUUGAAUGGAGUGGCUAAAGAACUCCUUUACUCAAAAUACCUGGGGGCUAUUUCUCAAUUAUAGCAAUAAUCCAGUAUUUGGUUUCCUUCCCUUCACGGUGCAAGAGCCUUCUCUUAGCGCUGAUUAUUUUCUGCUUUUGUGAUCAAGUGUCUAGAAUCAAGAGUUACACAACAAACACUCCCUAUCCAACUCCUUCACACACGCACACACAGAAACACUCAUACACUCAUACUCCCCACCCAGCCUUGGUCCUAAAAUGUUAAGUUGCUCAGUUGUGUCCAACUCUUUGCAAUCCCAUGGACUAUAGCCCACCAGUCUCCUCUGUCCAUGGAAUUCUCCAGGCAAGAAUACUGGAGUGAGCAGUCAUUCCCUUCUCCAGAGGCUCUUUCCGAACCAGGGAUUAAACCCAGGUUUCCUGCAUUGCAGGCAGAUUCUUUACCAUCUGAGCUGACAGGGUCCUUAGGGGUCUACUGAAGUGUAC
ensembl:lincRNA